rnacentral:rRNA from 1 species
AUUGAACGCUGGCGGUAUGCUUAACACAUGCAAGUCGAACGGUAACGGAGUCUAGCUUGCUAGACUGCCGACGAGUGGCGGACGGGUGAGGAACGCGUAGGGAUCUGUCUAAGAGAUUGGGACAACACGGGGAAACUCGUGCUAAUACCGAAUACGCUCUGAGGAGGAAAGGCUGGAGCAAUCCAGUUGCUCAUAGGUGAACCUGCGUUGGAUUAGCUAGUUGGAAGGGUAAGGGCCUCCCAAGGCGAAGAUCCAUAGCUGUUCUGAGAGGAAGGACAGCCACACUGGGACUGAGACACGGCCCAGACUCCUACGGGAGGCAGCAGUGGGGAAUAUUGGACAAUGGGCGCAAGCCUGAUCCAGCAAUACCGCGUGUGUGAAGAAGGCCUGAGGGUUGUAAAGCACUUUCAGCUGGGAGGAAGUUGGUAUGGUUAAAAGUCAUACUGAUUGACGUUACCGGCAGAAGAAGCACCGGCUAACUCUGUGCCG